GCUAGACCCAAGCGGAAGUAGCGGCUACGGACGGGCGGAAUCAAGCAGCAGCAGCGGAAGGAAGGCACGAAGCAGCAGCAGCAGCUGAGACAACUAGGACGGAUGACGCAGUAGCAACAUUGGAAAGCAGCAGCGCGUCAACAGGAUGGGUGCAUCGCACAAAUGUUCCUGCAUGGAGUACUACGCACAUCAAGCGCAUCGGCAGGGUUCGGAUCAGGUCGAGGAGUGGUUUAGUUAGGGUCCCAUCGGCAGCCGGGUCCGCUUCACGGGCCCAGCGUCACGAUGAAUCCCACAUAACCCAUCUCGGAGAGAUUGGUUUGUAGCCGCAAGCCGCCCUUCGAGGUGGGUACCUUUUGAAGGUUCCCUCCUCGUUAACAAAAAAAAAGAAUUCCGUAUUAAAUAACGGAAGAGUAAAAAGAGCCACAAAUCAGGCAGCGCGCUGUGAACAGCCAAACAAACCAGACAAACACGACACUGGGGCACAUCACGGUUUAAGUUAGAAAGCUUAAGCUGUUAGCCGGCAUCUGUCAGAUAAUCGAGCAGAUAUCGAGCAGUGAAAAGGUACCGGGUUGUAUCAUUAAGAACAACAUAAGGUAAUUUUUACUGAACCAAAAUAUGAGGAAAAUAAAUUUGAGUUUGAAAUCUGGAUCUGAAUGGUAAACGCAACGGUCUUAAUCAAAGUAAAGUACUGCAGGAUGCACAAAAGGUUAGGUUGGAUGCUGCUGUUGUAUGAUAAAGAAUGAGAACACCUCUGAAAUAUACGUAGCAGAAAACAGUAGCAUACACCCAAAUGACAUUUUUCUAAGUUUUUAACAUCGUUUUGAUUCGUUUUUGCUGUUCGUACACGGCAGUUGUUAAUGUGUUGCUUUGGAUUGCGCCAGCAACUGAGGUGAGGUUCUUCUUUGAAUUUUUCGAUGCGUUCGAAAAAGAAGCGAAGUGAAAGAAGAACACAAUCCUUUUCGUACGUUGUGUUCGAAGCCGGGUGAGAUGAGCGCGUGUAUUUUAGCAGUUAAACAGUGAAAUAUCAGUGCAGUGUGCUUCACAAGAAGAUGAUUCAGGGCGAGAAAUAAACCGAGAGCCUCUUCAGGCAGUUAGCGCCAUCGUCCCAAGUGUACAGUGAAGGAAAGUUAAUGCAGUACAGUAAAAUCUUGUUCAAUUAUUUCACGGAUUUUAUUAACAGUAAUUGUGUUGAAAUAGCUUAUAAAGUGUAUGUAAAGUGAUUUAUUGAUUUUUAAAUAAGUGUAAAAAUAUUGUGAAAAAGGUAUUAUAAAUAAAAUAAUUGUUGUUUUAUGUAA